AUGACAUCAUCAGAACAUUAUCAGAACAUCAUCAUACCCCAUCAGAACACCAUCAUACCCCAGUAUCAGAACAUCAUCAGAACCCAUCAUCAGAACAUCAUCAUACCCCAUCAUCAUACCCCAGUAUCAGAACAUCAUCAGAACAUCAUCAGAACAUCAUCAUACCCCAGUGUCAGAACAUCAUCAGAACAUCAUCAUAACAUCAUCAGAACAUCAUCAUACCCCAUCAUCAGAACAUCAUCAUACCCCAUCAUCAGAACAUCAUCAUACCCCAUCAUCAUACACCAUCAUCAGAACAUCAUCAUACCCCAUCAUCAUACUCCAUCAUCAUAUCCCAUCAUCAUACCCCAUCAUCAGAACAUCAUCAUACCCCAUCAUCAGAACACCAUCAUACCCCAUCAUCAGAACAUCAUCAGAACAUCAUACCCCAUCAUCAGAACAUCAUACCCCAUCAUCAGAAUAUUACCAUACCCCAUCAUCAUAACAUCAUCAUACCCCAUCAUCAGAACAUCAUCAUACCCCAUCAUCAGAACAUCAUCAGAACCCAUCAUCAGACCAUCAUCAUACCCAUCAUCAGAACAUCAUCAGAACAUCAUCAUACCCCAUCAUCAGAACAUCAUCAGAACUUCAUCAUACCCCAUCAUCAGAACAUCAUCAGAACCCAUCAUCAGAACAUCAUCAUACCCCAUCGACAGAACAUCAUCAGAACAUCAUCAUACCCCAUCAUCAUACCCCAUCAUCAGAACAUCAUCAUACCCCAUCAUCAGAACAUCAUCAUACCCCAUCAUCAGAACAUCAUCAUACCCCAUCAUCAUAACAUCAUCAGAACAUCAUCAUACCCCAUCAUCAGAACACCAUCAGAACAUCAUCAUACCCCAUCAUCAGAACAUCAUCAUACCCCAUCAUCAGAACAUCAUCAUACCCCAUCAUCAGAACAUCAUCAGAACAUCAUCAUACCCCAUCAUCAGAACAUCAUCAUACCCCAUCAUCAUACCCCAUCAUCAGAACAUCAUCAUACCCCAUCAUCAGAACAUCAUCAUACCCCAUCAUCAGAACAUCAUCAUACCCCAUCAUCAGAACAUCAUCAUACCCCAUCAUCAGAACAUCAUCAUACCCCAUCAUCAUACCCCAUCAUCAGAACAUCAUCAUACCCCAUCAUCAGAACAUCAUCAUACCCCAUCAUCAGAACAUCAUCAUACCCCAUCAUCAUACACCAUCAUCAGAACAUCAUCAUACCCCAUCAUCAUACUCCAUCAUCAGAACAUCAUCAUGCCCCAUCAUCAGAACAUCAUCAUGCCCCAUCAUCAGAACAUCAUCAUGCCCCAUCAUCAGAACAUUGGCCUGCACACUGGGUUGUUAAUUUGA
rnacentral:lncRNA from 1 species